GUCUCUUUCUGUUCUGUCUACUGUACAUGCACCUGCUCAGGUGAGACCUCAAGGAAAAAUAAUCCUGUGGGUCCACCUAAUCUGGUUGUUUCCAACCGUAUUAUCUACUAUUGUGGCAAUAAACACGAGUCAAGAGUUGAAUAAAAAGAAUUCUUUUUAUCAUCAUCAUCACCAUCAUCCUCAAUCACUGUCAUCACCAUACCACAAUGGGUAUCAUAUCUUAAAAAUAAGAAGACUUUCAUAUUCUACAGGAAGUAAUUUCAAUGUAGAUCGUAGCUUUUUAUUUUAUUUAAACAUUUUUAGCAUUACUAAUAUGAAAAUUAUAUUUUAUUCAACCACCAGAGGGAGCUCCCAAAUAUAUGGAUUCUAAAAGGGAAGGAGUAAAGUAAUUAAGUAGGCAGCUUUGUAUGUUUUAUGGUUGAAAAUCAAAGAUUUAAUCAGCUGUGUGUCAUGGUUUUGUGGGAUCACGUGUUGGGUCUUCGUAUAUCAAAUGCUUAAAAUUUUAUCCUACUAUAGACGCCACAUCAUUUUAAUUAAUAGCUAUGAAAUAAUAAUCUUGUUUUUAUGUUUUUUUAAAGUUUGAGUAAUUGUGUUAUUUUAACUUUAUGUUUUAAUUUUGGACAAUAUUGAUUGACAGCAUGCUUUGCAAAUAUAAUUAUACUUCACGACCUCCUCUCUUAGGCCCCAAUUUUUCUUAAGUUGUGUUUUUAUAUUGUCCAAUUUAUAAAACUUAUAUUCUUUUUUGUAACCACAAAUUCAAUAUUGACACAUCUCCUUUUCAUAUUUAUUUGUUUUGAUGUAUUGCUUGACUUGCUAAAUUUUAUUGUCAAAUAGUUUAUUUGAGAAGGGUCUUUGGGUUCUAGAAUCCUUGAUAUCUUUCAUGUUUGAGAAUGACUGCUUGUUGCUUUACACAUGUAUGACAUAUAGAGUGGGUAUAAUAUUGUGAGGUCAUAUUUUCUUUCUCUCAUCUAUGAUUUAAUAUUCCCCCUAGGAAAAUCAAGUCUUCCAAUUUUUUUUUUCACUAAUAUUAUGUGGGUGUGGAAGGGGAAGGAAGGAAAUUAUCCAACUGUUUCCUGCAGGCAGAGCAAGUCCCUACAGAGCAGGCUGCCCUCAGUGAUGAUGAGUUUUGUAUCUCCCAGAACAUCCCACCUCUUAAAUGUCUAGCAUCUUGUAAGUAUCCUUCCCAUUCAUGUUUCUUCAUAGCUUACUGAGUUCUGUCUCUCCUCUUUUAAAUGGCUUUGUUGAGAUAUAAUUGAUAAAUAAAAAACUGCACGUUUGAUGUGUGCAGUUUGAUGUAUUUGGACGUAUGUAUACAUUGGCAAUACUAUCACCACAAUCAAGAUAAUAAACAUAUCCAUUAUCUCCAAAAGUUUCCGUGUGUCCCCUCAACCGCUUCCUUUUUUGUGUGGUAAAAGCACUUAGCAGGAUGAUCUGGGGAGGAGCAGUCCCUGGGAUCACUGUGUUUAUCUGUUGUCUCUGUACCCCACUUUAAAGCAUCUGAAAGUUUUCUCACACAGUAAUGUAAUCAACCCCAUUUUGUGGCUGUGGAAAUUGUCAGGCACAAAGGUUAAGCAAAUUACCCAAGGCCAUGGAGCAGAUGAGUGAGAGACCUGGGAGUGGAUCCAGGACUCAUAACUGCUCAGUUGAUAUAUUGCCUUCCAUUGCUUGACAAGGCUGCAAGCUGUCCUGCUUCUUCCCAACACACUUGACUAAAGUCAGGUAUUUAAAUUUCCAUUUCUAAGCUGAAGUCAGCAGUAUUUCCAUAACUAGGAUGUUGUCACAACAGAAAAAAUGAAUUAUAAGCAAUGAAUAGAGGUGAAAUAUAUUCAUUCAGAGUCAGUGUUAACACAUUCCAUCUUUCUUCACUUCCUUUAACCUCUUAUUUUCUCCAGGCUGCUUACAAACGUAUUCAAUGUGUUAACAAAAAAAUGUAGUAAACACCUUGCCAGACUAUCAGCAUUGGGAACAAAGAAAAACACUUUCUAUUUGGUGUUAGCAUAACUGUGCAUUUUAACUAGAUGUAUAUCUCUCUGUGGAUAAUUAACAUGCUAUUUGUAAAUAAAGUAAAAUAUUAAAUAUAUGAA